rnacentral:rRNA from 1 species
AGAGUUUGAUCCUGGCUCAGAUUGAACGCUGGCGGCAUGCCUUACACAUGCAAGUCGAACGGCAGCACGGGAGCAAUCCUGGUGGCGAGUGGCGAACGGGUGAGUAAUACAUCGGAACGUGCCCAAUCGUGGGGGAUAACGCAGCGAAAGCUGUGCUAAUACCGCAUACGAUCUACGGAUGAAAGCAGGGGAUCGCAAGACCUUGCGCGAAUGGAGCGGCCGAUGGCAGAUUAGGUAGUUGGUGAGGUAAAGGCUCACCAAGCCUUCGAUCUGUAGCUGGUCUGAGAGGACGACCAGCCACACUGGGACUGAGACACGGCCCAGACUCCUACGGGAGGCAGCAGUGGGGAAUUUUGGACAAUGGGCGAAAGCCUGAUCCAGCCAUGCCGCGUGCAGGAUGAAGGCCUUCGGGUUGUAAACUGCUUUUGUACGGAACGAAACGGCCUUUUCUAAUAAAGAGGGCUAAUGACGGUACCGUAAGAAUAAGCACCGGCUAACUACGUGCCAGCAGCCGCGGUAAUACGUAGGGUGCAAGCGUUAAUCGGAAUUACUGGGCGUAAAGCGUGCGCAGGCGGUUAUGUAAGACAGUUGUGAAAUCCCCGGGCUCAACCUGGGAACUGCAUCUGUGACUGCAUAGCUAGAGUACGGUAGAGGGGGAUGGAAUUCCGCGUGUAGCAGUGAAAUGCGUAGAUAUGCGGAGGAA